AUUGAACGCUGGCGGCAGGCCUAACACAUGCAAGUCGAACGAGUGGGGUACGGGUGAGCAAUGUCUGGGAAACUGCCUGAGGGAGGGGGAUAACUACUGGACGCGGUAUCUACCACCGUAUCACAUCGGAUGUGCCCAGUUGGGAUGAGAUAGUAGUUGGGGUAAAGGCUCACCUAGGCGACGAUCCCUAGCUGGUCGGAGAGGAUGACCAGCCACACUGGAACUGAGACACGGUCCAGACUCCUACGGGAGGCAGCAGUGGGGAAUAUGGGACAAUGGGCGCAAGCCUGAUGCAGCCAUGCCGCGUGUAUGAAGAAGGCCUUCGGGUUGUAAAGGACUUUUGUCAGGGAGGCGUUACCUGAAGAAUAAGCACCGGCUAACUACGUGCCAGCAGCCGCGGUAAUAC
rnacentral:rRNA from 1 species